CAGUCGCCACGGUAAUACGAAGGGGGCUAGCGUUGUUCGGAUUUACUGGGCGUAAAGGGCGCGUAGGCGGACUGAUAAGUCAGGGGUGAAAUCCCAAGGCUCAACCUUGGAACUGCCUUUGAUACUGUUUGUCUUGAGUUCGAGAGAGGUAAGUGGAACUGCGAGUGUAGAGGUGAAAUUCGUAGAUAUUCGCAAGAACACCAGUGGCGAAGGCGGCUUACUGGCUCGAAACUGACGCUGAGGCGCGAAAGCGUGGGGAGCAAACAGGAUUAGAUACCCCUGUAGUCCCUGUCUCUUAUAC
rnacentral:rRNA from 1 species